GUAUAUUGAUUAUAGAAAGCUAAAUGCUGCAUCUAGGAAAAAUCAUUUUCCUUUACCAUUCAUUGAUCAAAUGCUUGAACGGUUAGCUAAUCACCCAUACUAUUGCUUUCUUGAUGGAUAUAGUGGUUUCUUUUAAAUACCGAUUCACCCUAAUGAUCAAGAGAAAACUACUUUCACAUGUUCUUAUGGAACUUUUGCUUAUAAGAGAAUGCCAUUUGGUUUAUGCAAUGCUCCUGCAACAUUUCAGAGGUGUAUGACCUCUAUAUUUUAAGAUUUAAUCGAGGAGAUGGUGGAGGUCUUCAUGGACGAUUUUUCGGUCUAUGGCCCCUCUUUCUCCUCUUGUUUGUUGAAUCUUGGCAGGGUAUUGACCAGGUGCGAAGAGACGAAUCUUGUUCUCAAUUGGGAAAAGUGUCAUUUCAUGGUGAAGGAAGGCAUAAUGUUGGGCCACAAGAUAUCAGAGAAGGGUAUAGAGGUUGACAAAGGAAAAAUUGAAGUGAUGAUGCAGUUGCAGCCACCAAAAACGGUGAAGGACAUCAGAAGUUUCCUUGGUAAUGCUGGGUUCUGCAAGGGGGCUUUUGGUGGCCAAUAAUGUAUAAGGACGCUCAGAAGUUCGUUUCAAAAUGUGAUUCAUGGCAGAGAAAGGGAAACAUCAGCAAAAGAAAUGAGAUGCCUCAAAACCCACUCUUGGAAGUGGAGAUCUUUGACGUAUGGGAAUUGAUUUUAUGGGUCCAUUCCCAUCUUCAUACGGUAACAAGUAUAUACUGGUCGUCGUAGCUAUUGCUAGUCCUACCAACAAUGCAAAAGUUGUGCUGAAGCUGUUCAAGACCAUAAUCUUCUGGAGAUUUGGAGUUCCUAGGGUAGUAAUCAGUGAUGGUAGGAAGCAUUUCAUCAACAAAGUCUUUGAGAACCUCCUGAAGAAGCAUGGAGUAAAGCACAAAGUCGCCACCCCUUAUCAUCCACAGACAAGCGGGCAGGUUGAGAUCUCUAACAGGGAGAUAAAAACAAUUCUGGAAAAAACUGUUGGAAUUACAAGGAAAGACUGGUCUGCAAAGCUUGAUGAUGCACUGUGGGCUUACAGGACAACUUUCAAGACACCCAUUGGUACAACUCCUUUUAAUCUCCUCUAUGGAGAAUCAUGUCACCUACCUGUUGAGCUCGAGUACAAAGCUAUAUGGGCGGUAAAACUCCUGAACUUUGACAUAAAAACCGCUGAGGAAAAGCGGUUGAUCCAACUCAGUGACCUUGAUGAAAUCCGUUUAGAAGCUUAUGAGGGCUCUAAAAUCUACAAGGAGAGAAUUAAGCUUUUCCAUGACAAGAAGAUCAUCACUAAGGAUUUUCAGGUCUUUCCAGGAAAGCUUAAAUCCAGAUGGUCUGGCCCCUUCUUUGUCAUUGAGGUCCGUCCUUAUGGAGCAGUCACUCUACCUGGUAAGAGUGGAGAUUUCACAGUAAACGGUUAAAGGCUCAAGAAGUACUUAGCAGAUCAAAUCCUUCCAGAGGUGACGUCGGUUCACCUCAAGGAACUUCUUGAUGAUUAAAGGAGUAAAGGAGUCAAGCUAUUGACUUUAAACAAACUCACUUGGGGGGAAAUUCUAUGACUAUCUCUGUAAAUAAACUUUUAUUUUCUUGUUAUUUUUGAUUUGUUUUAGUUGUGUUUUUGGUUUUCAGGAACAAAGGAACGAUGUGGAGAUAGAGUAAAAAUUCAAAACUUUUACUCUACAGAAGACCAGGAAAUCGAGUGUAUAGCAUGGUGGAGUGCAAAAUUUUGAAAUUUUUUUGUUGCAUCUGGAGACCCUGAAUUCGAGUACAUAAGUCGAGUAUAUGUGAUGUUUAAAACCCAAAAAAAUUUAAAUCAUCAUUAUACUCGACCAACAGGAGCUACAAAGACUUGCAGGGAUUUUGUCAAGUUUACAGUAGAUUUCCUUCUGUUUUCCCAGUCAACAGAGUGUGGACCACACGCUGAAGAUAAGAUGGAGAGAGAAUCUCAAACUCAAUUUCCACCACUCCUUUUGAAAUUUUACUCGACCAACCUCUAUUCAAUUUUCCAUCACUCGACCGCAAGAAACAAUUCUCUGAAACCUAAGCCGCACUCGACCUCGCUGAAACCAAUCGACCGUCGUUGGAGAGAAUUACUCAGCCGCCGCAGUCGAGUUCCAAGUUUCACUCGACCACCGGUUUUGUUUCACCGUGAAUCACUCGACUGCUACGCCACCGACACUCCAAUUUUUCUACUUCACCACAAAUCGCCGCCUCUCACUCGACCACUUCACUUCACCGUCAAAGUCUCGGGAACUACUCGGUAACAACUACAGUACUCGACCGUCGACUUGUGGUUUCGUCCUUGCCAAUUCCGGCUCACCGAAGAAGUACUCGACCUCUGGAGCCAACCACUCGACCGACCCUUCACGUUUCAAGAUUCCAGGCUUCAAUUCCGGUUCACUGAGGUAUCACUCGAUCGCUGGUGCUAGGAAAUCAGCAGAUCCACUCGACUUCAGAAAAGUUACUCAACCGCGGUCUCUACUCUACUCGAUCCAAUUCGUGUAAGAGGAACUCGAGAACAGCUCAGUUUACUCGAGUACUAGAUUGUACUCGACCAAUUUGGUCAAUUUCAUUGCCUGUUGAUAACAAUUUUGGUUUCAUUGUUAUCUUUGAGACUAACCUAUUGACAUUUGAGUUUUGAGUUCUAAAUCUUCUUGCAGGAGAAUCAUGAGUAAUUACAGUGGCAGUUCUUCGGUUGAUCCUGACUAUAACAUGGAUGAGACAGAACGAGAACAGAGAGAAUACGAUAGCUUCAGAAGAAAAGCUGAGAUAGCUCGAGGGAAGAGAGCAAUGACAGGGAGGUAUGAGCUUAUAGAUGUGGAUCUAGAAGACGAGUACAUGCCUGAGCAUACUCGCAAAGCCACCAAACUUCUGCACAAACCUAAUGUAUUGCCUGCUGAGGAGUAUAUCAGGCUCUUCAAACUGAAUGAGUUCUGUAGCACAGGGUAUCCAUGCUCGACCACACUUGCUCAAUUUGGAUUGUUGGAGGAUGUUCAGCACCUGUACCAGAGUUGUCAUCUGGACACUCUGAUGGCUUAUCCCUAUGUAGCAUAUGAAGAAGAAACGAUUCAGUUCCUCUCCACACUACAAGUGGAGCUUUACCAAGGUAUGACCUCUGAUGAUUUGGAAUGCGAAGGAUUGGGAUUCUUGAGAUUCUCUGUGUAUGGUCAUGAGUAUAGGUAAUCAAUCAAGCGCUUCGAAGGAUUGUUUGGUUUCCCCAAUGGAACGGGUACUAAGCCCAAGUAUGAUAGAGAAGAGUUGAAAGACUUAUGGAUCACAAUUGGCAGCUCUGUACCGCUGAAUUCUUCUAGGCCAAAGAGCAAUAUGAUACGCAGCCCUGUCAUCAGGUACUUCCAGCGUUCUACAGCCAAUGUCCUCUACUCCCGAGAGAUCACAGGGACUGUUACCAAUUCUGAUAUGGAAAUGAUCGCUAUGGCUCUCAAAGGCACUCUCCGCCAAACUAAGAACAAAAUGUCUCUCCAAGGUGAAAUCAAUGACACACCUCUCUCUGUACUUCUUCUGAUCCACCUGUGUGGAUACAAGAGCUGGGCUGUCAACAAUAACCAUAAGAGAAUACGAGGCGCUCUUUGUAUUGGCGGUGUUGUGACACCGAUUCUGAUCGCUUGUGGAGUCCCAAUCACAUCUGAUGGACUCGAGCCACGGGCAAUGGAUAUCGAGCAUCUACGUCACUGCGAAUUCGUGGAGUUCGCAAUGGUUGGCGACAUGCACCGUUUCAGGUUUGAGCACUCUACGGAUAAGAGAGCUAGCAUCCUUCUCCCCAGCCCAGAGGUUACACGCAUAAUAGAGGGAGAUAACAUUGAUUUUAGGCCUGAGCUUGGAAACCUCUACUAUGAGAACGCUCCGCCAUUGGAUGAGGAUGAUCUUAUAGAAGAAGCUGCUGAGGAUGGGAUGGAUGAAGACAGAGCAGUGGAGUUUGACACUAGCAUGUAUCAUUUUAGUGAACAUGUACCUCCAGCGAGGGAGAGCAAGAGCUUGAGUGAAGCUCAUAGGAACAAUAGCAAGCUGCAGAAGUGGUGCAAGAAGCAGGACAAGCUACUCGCCAAGUGCCUCAAGACUAUCAAGUUUCUGACGGAUACGCUGAGCUGUUCCUCUUACACUACAAAUGUUCCACAGGGACAACCUCCUCUAGAGAUGCCAUCGAGGAGAUUUGAUGAGCCUGAGCCAAGUCAGCACAGGCCUGAGCCUAGUGAGCAGAGAGUCUCACAUGUCCCUGCUAGACAUUCAUCAUUCGAGUCUCGGGAGCACAAGAGAAGAAGGAAGGCUACACUCGUUCGCUCUAGCAGCAGAUCACGCCUUAUUCACUCGAGGAGAUCACUCGACCACGGUGCUGGUCGCAGCAGAAGAAGAGAGGUCGAGUAUCCUCAGAGCGGUGUUGGCCGCCAUAGAGCUGAUGAGGUCGAGUACCCACAUGCUGGAGCUGAUACAGAACAGGGCGGGUCGUCUAUGGCCUGGGAGCAAUCACAGGCAGCCAUUGACGACCAACUCCGUUCAUUCUUUGAGUGAGGUAAGCGCCUCACUUCACCAUUGUAUUAUAUCAUCUCUUGUGAUUUGUUCUUUAUUUUGUUUCUGUGAUUGGAUUUGUCCUAAGUACUCUCUUCCAAGUUUAGUCACACAGUGGAUUGUGUGUUUUAAGUUUGGGGGAGGGCUCAGGAAGUGUGUGUUGCAUUGUUUAUACUCUUGAGUCUGCAUUCAUCAAGGCAUAGGAAAAAAAAAAAAAUUGAAAAAUUC
rnacentral:sRNA from 1 species